rnacentral:rRNA from 1 species
UACCCGCUCCCCGAGUGGUGGGGGCUUUUACUGAGCUUAAAGCGCCCGUAGCCGGUCAUGCGUGUCUCCAGUUAAAUCCAGCAGCCUAACUGCUGGGCCGCUGGAGAUACUGUAUGACUUGGAGGCGGGAGAGGCUACCGGUAGUCCCGGGGUAGGAGUGAAAUCCUCUGAUCCCGGGAGGACCUGCAGUGGCGAAGGCGGGUAGCCAGAACGCGCUCGACGGUGAGGGGCGAAAGCUGGGGGAGCGAACCGG